rnacentral:lncRNA from 1 species
AGAAAAGUCCUUACUGCUGUGGGAUUCCAAAGGAGAAAGCAGUGCAUUUUUCAUGAAAACAAAAAUGAAAUAAAACAAAACCAAAUCUCUCAGAAGAUAGAAGUGAGAUGGGUUCCGAGGACAAAUUGAUUAAUCUAUAAGGUAAGUUAAGAAAGUACUUGAGAGGAUAGAGGGUCCUCAUCGAUCUCCUCUCUGAACAAAACAGCACAAACACUCCUGAGAUCCAUUGUCUGAAAAGAAAGGAAUUAUUUAGUACUUUUCAAACAUUAAAACAGUUUUUAUGAAGCCAGGCAUGGUGGCAUAUAUACACCUAGAAAUUGGAAGGCUGACAAAGACAAUUAUGAGUUUGGGGAUAGCCUGAGCUAAACAUGAAGACCUUAUCUCAAAAACGAAAUAAAAAAACAGAGUAGCACCCUGAUCAAUAUUGAUGAAUUUAUCUGGUCUACUAUGGAAGAACUCAGUAAAUGGAAGAUCCUCAAAGUCUGCAGAUUCUAGCAAGAAAUGCUCUGUGAUAUUUUUCUACAGGUUCAUGAGCUAAAAAUGACAGUGGACAUUCAAGUGUGGUGUCCAGUGAGACAACUCAUCACUGGCUUCAAGUAGGGAUCUGAGUUUACUCACAGUAUCUAUUCGUGGUGAUGGAUCCUGUGACCAUUGGAUGAAAAGUUUCUCCAUUUAAGAAAACCAAACUUUCAUCUGAGAGAGGAGGCAGUUUACUAUAUGAUGGGUACCCCUCUGGGCUCUGACAAUGUAUUUGGACUUCUGUUGGGGAAAUCUGAGUUUGUUGUCUAUC